rnacentral:rRNA from 1 species
AUACGUAGGUGGCAAGCGUUGUCCGGAAUUAUUGGGCGUAAAGCGCGCGCAGGUGGUUCCUUAAGCCUGAUGUGAAAGCCCCCGGCUCAACCGGGGAGGGUCAUUGGAAACUGGGGAACUUGAGUGCAGCAGAGGAUAGUGGAAUUCCAAGUGUAGCGGUGAAAUGCGUAGAGAUUUGGAGGAACACCAGUGGCGAAGGCGACUGUCUGGUCUGUAACUGACACUGAGGCGCGAAAGCGUGGGGAGCAAACAGGAUUAGAUACCCUGGUAGUCCACGCCGUAAACGAUGAGUGCUAAGUGUUGGGGGGUUUCCGCCCCUCAGUGCUGCAGCUAACGCAUUAAGCACUCCGCCUGGGGAGUACGGUCGCAAGACUGAAACUCAAAGGAAUUGACGGG